CGUUCCUGUUGGAUGGUACGGCUACCGCAGCUGGUGCAAUUGCAUCCGUAGCA
rnacentral:misc_RNA from 1 species